CCUACGGGAGGCAGCAGUGAGGAAUAUUGGUCAAUGGACGAGAGUCUGAACCAGCCAAGUAGCGUGAAGGAUGACUGCCCUAUGGGUUGUAAACUUCUUUUAUAUGGGAAUAAAAUGUUCCACGUGUGUGAUUUUGUAUGUACCAUAUGAAUAAGGAUCGGCUAACUCCGUGCCAGCAGCCGCGGUAAUACGGAGGAUCCGAGCGUUAUCCGGAUUUAUUGGGUUUAAAGGGAGCGUAGGUGGAUUGUUAAGUCAGUUGUGAAAGUUUGCGGCGCAACCGUAAAAUUGCAGUUGAAACUGGCAGUCUUGAGUACAGUAGAGGUGGGCGGAAUUCGUGGUGUAGCGGUGAAAUGCUGAGAGAUCACGAAGAACUCCGAUUGCGAAGGCAGUUCACUGGACUGCAACUGACACUGAGGCUCGAAAGUGUGGGUAUCAAACAGGAUUAGAUACCCCGGUAGUC
rnacentral:rRNA from 1 species